rnacentral:rRNA from 1 species
AGCAGCCGCGGUAAUUCCCAGUUCCAAUAGCGUAUAUUAAAGUUGUCGCAGUUAAAAUGCUCGUAGUUGAAUUUCGGGGUCAUAGGCUGGUCAUGCUACGGGUAUGUACUGGUCUUCCUUUCUGAUGAACUUUAAUGCCAUUAACUUGGUGUUGCGGGGAGACUGGACUGUUACUUUGAAAAAAUUAGAGUGUUUAAAGCAGGCUAACGCUUGAAUACAUUAGCAUGGAAUAAUGAAAUAGGACGUUCGAUCUUAUUUUGUUGGUUUCUAAGAUUGACGUAAUGAUUAAUAGGGAUAGUUGGGGGCAUUAGUAUUCAAUUGUCAGAGGUGAAAUUUCUUGGAUUUAUUGAAGACUAACUACUGCGAAAGCAUUUGCCAAGGAUGUUUUCAUUAAUCAAGAACGAAAGUUAGGGGAUCGAAGACGAUCAGAUACCGUCGUAGUCUUAGCCAUAAACUAUGCCGACUAGGGAUCGGAUGAUGUUAAUUUUUUAAUGUACUCAUUCGGCGCCUUACGGGAAAA